rnacentral:rRNA from 1 species
UUAAACAUAAGAGUUUGAUCCUGGCUCAGGACGAACGCUGGCGGCGUGCUUAACACAUGCAAGUCGAACGAGGAUGUUGACUUCGG